AAGAAGACGACGAGAGCCCGACUGAGUGAAGUUGUCAAGGCAAAGUACAUUUGGGAACCAAAAACGAAUAAAGAGGUCCAGACAACUGCUAUUUGGAUAUUCUUAAAUAAAGGUCUGUUUUUCUGAACUACACAGAGAUCAAAAUGUACACCUUCAGUGAAGACAUUCACAAAUAAAUUGAAGCCACUUCAUCCAAAUGUAAAAAUAACACACUAUCUACAACCAUUAAUCAGUAAAGAGGAGAGCGAUACUGAAGAACAAAGAGAUUCACUCUUGAUUCUUUAUUAAUAAUCUGUAAGGAACAUUGUAGUAAAAUAACUGAAGGAACUGGAGGAAACAUCAUCAGUAAAAGGAACAUCAUUCUACUGGCAGAAAAACUUCUGGUUGUUUGCAGAUUUUUUUUCAGAUUUCUUUCCCAAAGAAAGCAAAGAGCAGAAGCCAGCAAUCAUUGUGAAAAAAAUAAUUGAAAGAAGACGACACAUUGUGGUGCACAUGGAAACUCACACUGGAGAGCGCCCAUUUCCAUGUCCUCAGUGUGAAAAGAGUUUUACUCAAAAAAUAAACCUUAAAAUCCACAUGGGAAUUCACACUGGAGAAUGUCCAUACCCAUGUCCCGAGUGUGAAAAGAGAUUCAUGUCAAAAGCAUGUCUUAUGAGGCACAUGAGAAUUCACACAGGAGAGUGCCCAUACACGUGUCCUCAGUGUAAAAAGAGUUUCAACCAGAACGCAAAUCUUAUGAGGCACAUGAGAAUUCACACUGGAGAGCGCCAAUACAAUUGUCUUCAGUGUGAGAAGAGUUUCAUGACGAAAUCAGGUCUUAUGAGGCAUUUGAGUGUUCACACUGGAGAGCGGACAUCCAAAUGUCUUAUUGUGGAAAGAGCUUAAUAUGUUAAUUUUAAUCCCUAAACUCUUUUUCUUAAAUGGCUUCAGUAUGCAGAGCAAUUGCAGAAUACACCUUAUGGACUGCAUGCCCUCUAGGGGUGGUUCACAUUUUGCAUCUAAAACCGCAUUGAAAACGUGACCAUGUCGCUUUUCUCCUUCUUUCCAACGUGGCAUUGUGAAAAGUUGGAAGCAUUUUCAAAUGCAUGUGGCCCUGCCGCGUCUGGAAAAAAAGCAUGUUGCACCAUGUGCACGUCUCAACCGCAUCACUCUAUCUGAGUGCACUUGAUGUGCGUGGCUUUGCCCAUGCAAAAGACACGAAAUGUGAAUGCCCCAUACAGCAACAUGCUGUUAACGUCACACUUUAGGAGGAUGCAUGAACUGAGUAGAAACAGGCCUGGCUCUGGCCCUUUGAUGUUGAGACCAGACCCAUGCUGUCCAAAUGUAAUAACUAUUCUGCUAUCCAAGUAUCAGAUAUGAUCUAGUUAUGCAGACCAGGCUUAAAGGAAUAGUCUACCCUUUUGCCAUAUUAAACUAUGUUAUUACCUCAACUUAGACGAAUUAAUACAUAUCUAUCUUUUUUCAAUGCGUGCACUGUACAGCGCGUUGUGAAUGUGUUAGCAUUUAGCCUAGACCCAUUCAUUCCUAUGGUACCAAACAGGGAAGCCUUCCGUGUUUUCCCUAUUUAAAGACUGUUACAUGAGGAGUUAUACCAGUAAGUAUGGUGCCACAAAAUAAAACUUUUUUUUGGUACCAUAGGAAUGAAUGGGGCUAGGCUAAAUGCUGAAAAAAACAAAUCUGCAGGUCCAAUCAGCAAACAGAGGGGGGUGGCUAAGAACGAUGACGUUGAGGUUGUGCGUCAGUUUGAGUUGUAGUUCAGUAAUGGCAGCGGAGAAAGACGUGAGAAAAGCUAUUCGGUCCGUUGUUGCAAAAAUGCCGGCUUAUUUCAAGUCUGUGAAACUGGGCUCAUAUAGUUUGUGCAAGAAGUAAAAAUCACGACCUAUUGUAUUUUUUUUGCGUAUAUGUACUAAUAUACCUAAUCUGAUCAUUUAAUAAGCAUCCAGCUUUUUUAAACACAUGGGGACAUUAAUGAUGCCAAUAAAAAUCUCUUAAAAUUUAAAAUAAAAAAAAAUAAAAAUAAAAAAUACACUAAACUGAGAGGUAGCCAUUCAAAACAUUCAGUAGAUUUCUAGAAACUAAGGACAAACAGCAAAAAUAAAUUAGCUCUAAAACUUCCCCAACAUGUUAUGCAAAACAACGCACAGUGGCAUGUGCCUGCAAUCCAAUUAGAAGUCUGAGUCUAAUGGAUCAUUUGAGUUAAGGGGUUCUGGUCUGAUGGUUGGCCAUCUUUGUGGAGAACCAGUGGGGGAACUUGGUCAGACACCAUAAUUUUCUGUAUCCUGUUAUUAUUAUCAAGUUAAAUAUCUAAAAGCCUUCUCAAAAAUCUUAAACCCCUUUAACCUGAAUAUAGGACCAAACUGUGUUAAAGCAGAGUAAAAUCAAGAAUUCUAGCUUUUUCGACAAAGGUCUCUUGUUAUCAGAUGUCUUUUACAUAUCUCUCUGAUCUAUGUUGGUUCCCAAAGUCUCUCUGCCACUUCCAAAUAAUAAUGAAUGAAAUAACUCUUAGGUGUCAUGCCCAGCAGGGUAAAUUGUUUUAUAAUUCAUGUUGUUUGGGGGGAAUUGAGCUUUGUUUUAAUUCUCUCAUGUAGAGUCUUCUCUGAGAUAUAACAAAAAUAUACUUUUUUUUCAUUGUAACGCAAUCUGCAAACAAUAAAAAAAAUACAGAUGAAUAGUGAAUACUUGAUUCAUAACGGUUGUUGAAAGUUCGGGUGCUCCCUGAAGGUGCAGUGGUGUGCGCUUGUAAUCCAAACUACUGAAAUAGUGAGCCACAAACAAGUCUUUGCCCAGGUUAAAAUAUAGAAAUAUAUAUUUGGUGUGUACUCAGCAUCACUGCAGUAUAGACAUUUCUGGCUGUGUACAAAGCUUAUUGUUUAGCACACAUUGGUGUCUGAAUGCUUUUUGUAUUGCCCAUCACUUUGUGAACACUGCGGUCAUUUACAGUAAUGCUCGACUGAUCUAUGAUCAGCCAGUAGUCUAUGAAUAAUUAAUGUGAUUUCAUUGUGAAUGCUGUUUUUAUUGAAAAUAUUUGGUUUGUACUUUGUAAAUAGUUGUUUGGGUUUCACAUUCUUUAAAUGUUUUCCUUCAUUAGAUUAUUUGAUGUUGUAACUCUAUUUGCAUAUAUUUAAUGUGGAAAAGGUUUCACUAUUGAAAAUUAAAACUUACAGGUCACAUAAAUAUUCACACUGGAGGGAGCUCACCCAAUGUUAAAACAUUUAAUUGUAAGUGUGGAAAGAGCUUCACACUUUUUUACUUUUUGAUUUUGGCCAAAAAAUACAUUAAAUAAAACACAAUUGAAUCCUAUAUGUGGCAGUACUACACUGGCAUGUACAAUUGUGUCAUCACUAUUGUGUCGCCACUAAUCCAUGUUACAAAAUAGCCUAUAAUUAUUGUUUUUGAUGUUUUUGAAUGUAAAAACCAUGCGGACAUCAUAAGUAGACAUCAGGCAACAGUAUAAAACAAUAAAAUCGACAAAUUCACCGCCCCUUUAAUAUUCUGAGUUUUAUAUACUUGCUAUACGGUUCUGUACUCACACAGUCUUUAUGCAUAAUUAUUUGGCUAAAGUGUGAAAUAAAGUCUCAAUGAAUAAAUAUCACAAUUUUGGUCAUGUUUACAAUAAAAACUUAAUCCAGA